CAGUGUGAUUCGUCACACUAUCAUUAACUGAAUCCAUAGGUUAAUGAGGCGAACCGGGGGAACUGAAACAUCUAAGUACCCCGAGGAAAAGAAAUCAACCGAGAUUCCCCCAGUAGCGGCGAGCGAACGGGGAGCAGCCCAGAGCCUGAAUCAGUGUGUGUGUUAGUGGAAGCGUCUGGAAAGGCGUGCGAUACAGGGUGACAGCCCCGUACACAAAAAUGCACAUAUUGUGAGCUCGAUGAGUAGGGCGGGACACGUGGUAUCCUGUCUGAAUAUGGGGGGACCAUCCUCCAAGGCUAAAUACUCCUGACUGACCGAUAGUGAACCAGUACCGUGAGGGAAAGGCGAAAAGAACCCCGGCGAGGGGAGUGAAAAAGAACCUGAAACCGUGUACGUACAAGCAGUGGGAGCACGCUUAGGCGUGUGACUGCGUACCUUUUGUAUAAUGGGUCAGCGACUUAUAUUCUGUAGCAAGGUUAACCGAAUAGGGGAGCCGAAGGGAAACCGAGUCUUAACUGGGCGUUAAGUUGCAGGGUAUAGACCCGAAACCCGGUGAUCUAGCCAUGGGCAGGUUGAAGGUUGGGUAACACUAACUGGAGGACCGAACCGACUAAUGUUGAAAAAUUAGCGGAUGACUUGUGGCUGGGGGUGAAAGGCCAAUCAAACCGGGAGAUAGCUGGUUCUCCCCGAAAGCUAUUUAGGUAGCGCCUCGUGAAUUCAUCUCCGGGGGUAGAGCACUGUUUCGGCAAGGGGGUCAUCCCGACUUACCAACCCGAUGCAAACUGCGAAUACCGGAGAAUGUUAUCACGGGAGACACACGGCGGGUGCUAACGUCCGUCGUGAAGAGGGAAACAACCCAGACCGCCAGCUAAGGUCCCAAAGUCAUGGUUAAGUGGGAAACGAUGUGGGAAGGCCCAGACAGCCAGGAUGUUGGCUUAGAAGCAGCCAUCAUUUAAAGAAAGCGUAAUAGCUCACUGGUCGAGUCGGCCUGCGCGGAAGAUGUAACGGGGCUAAACCAUGCACCGAAGCUGCGGCAGCGACGCUGAUGCGUUGUUGGGUAGGGGAGCGUUCUGUAAGCCUGUGAAGGUGUGCUGUGAGGUAUGCUGGAGGUAUCAGAAGUGCGAAUGCUGACAUAAGUAACGAUAAAGCGGGUGAAAAGCCCGCUCGCCGGAAGACCAAGGGUUCCUGUCCAACGUUAAUCGGGGCAGGGUGAGUCGACCCCUAAGGCGAGGCCGAAAGGCGUAGUCGAUGGGAAACAGGUUAAUAUUCCUGUACUUGGUGUUACUGCGAAGGGGGGACGGAGAAGGCUAUGUUGGCCGGGCGACGGUUGUCCCGGUUUAAGCGUGUAGGCUGGUUUUCCAGGCAAAUCCGGAAAACUAAGGCUGAGGCGUGAUGACGAGGCACUACGGUGCUGAAGCAACAAAUGCCCUGCUUCCAGGAAAAGCCUCUAAGCAUCAGGUAACAUCAAAUCGUACCCCAAACCGACACAGGUGGUCAGGUAGAGAAUACCAAGGCGCUUGAGAGAACUCGGGUGAAGGAACUAGGCAAAAUGGUGCCGUAACUUCGGGAGAAGGCACGCUGAUAUGUAGGUGAAGUCCCUCGCGGAUGGAGCUGAAAUCAGUCGAAGAUACCAGCUGGCUGCAACUGUUUAUUAAAAACACAGCACUGUGCAAACACGAAAGUGGACGUAUACGGUGUGACGCCUGCCCGGUGCCGGAAGGUUAAUUGAUGGGGUCAGCGCAAGCGAAGCUCUUGAUCGAAGCCCCGGUAAACGGCGGCCGUAACUAUAACGGUCCUAAGGUAGCGAAAUUCCUUGUCGGGUAAGUUCCGACCUGCACGAAUGGCGUAAUGAUGGCCAGGCUGUCUCCACCCGAGACUCAGUGAAAUUGAACUCGCUGUGAAGAUGCAGUGUACCCGCGGCAAGACGGAAAGACCCCGUGAACCUUUACUAUAGCUUGACACUGAACAUUGAGCCUUGAUGUGUAGGAUAGGUGGGAGGCUUUGAAGUGUGGACGCCAGUCUGCAUGGAGCCGACCUUGAAAUACCACCCUUUAAUGUUUGAUGUUCUAACGUUGACCCGUAAUCCGGGUUGCGGACAGUGUCUGGUGGGUAGUUUGACUGGGGCGGUCUCCUCCUAAAGAGUAACGGAGGAGCACGAAGGUUGGCUAAUCCUGGUCGGACAUCAGGAGGUUAGUGCAAUGGCAUAAGCCAGCUUGACUGCGAGCGUGACGGCGCGAGCAGGUGCGAAAGCAGGUCAUAGUGAUCCGGUGGUUCUGAAUGGAAGGGCCAUCGCUCAACGGAUAAAAGGUACUCCGGGGAUAACAGGCUGAUACCGCCCAAGAGUUCAUAUCGACGGCGGUGUUUGGCACCUCGAUGUCGGCUCAUCACAUCCUGGGGCUGAAGUAGGUCCCAAGGGUAUGGCUGUUCGCCAUUUAAAGUGGUACGCGAGCUGGGUUUAGAACGUCGUGAGACAGUUCGGUCCCUAUCUGCCGUGGGCGCUGGAGAACUGAGGGGGGCUGCUCCUAGUACGAGAGGACCGGAGUGGACGCAUCACUGGUGUUCGGGUUGUCAUGCCAAUGGCACUGCCCGGUAGCUAAAUGCGGAAGAGAUAAGUGCUGAAAGCAUCUAAGCACGAAACUUGCCCCGAGAUGAGUUCUCCCUGACUCCUUGAGAGUCCUGAAGGAACGUUGAAGACGACGACGUUGAUAGGCCGGGUGUGUAAGCGCAGCGAUGCGUUGAGCUAACCGGUACUAAUGAACCGUGAGGCUUAACCUUACAACGCCGAAGGUGUUU
rnacentral:rRNA from 1 species